rnacentral:rRNA from 1 species
UACGUAGGGUGCGAGCGUUAAUCGGAAUUACUGGGCGUAAAGCGUGCGUAGGCGGUUCUCCAAGUCCGUUGUGAAAUCCCCGGGCUUAACCUGGGAAUGGCAGUGGAAACUAGGGGACUUGAAUUUGGCAGAGGGGGGUGGAAUUCCACGUGUAGCAGUGAAAUGCGUAGAGAUGUGGAGGAACACCGAUGGCGAAGGCAGCCCCCUGGGCUGAGAUUGACGCUGAGUGCACGAAAGCGUGGGGAGCAAACAGG